AGAGUUUGAUCCUGGCUCAGAUUGAACGCUGGCGGCAUGCUUUACACAUGCAAGUCGAACGGCAGCACGGGUGCUUGCACCUGGUGGCGAGUGGCGAACGGGUGAGUAAUGCACCGGAACGUACCCAGUAAUGGGGGAUAACACAUCGAAAGAUGUGCUAAUACCGCAUACGCCCUGAGGGGGAAAGCGGGGGAUCGUAAGACCUCGCGUUAUUGGAGCGGCCGAUGCCGGAUUAGCUAGUUGGUGAGGUAAGAGCUCACCAAGGCGACGAUCCGUAGCUGGUCUGAGAGGACGACCAGCCACACUGGGACUGAGACACGGCCCAGACUCCUACGGGAGGCAGCAGUGGGGAAUUUUGGACAAUGGGCGCAAGCCUGAUCCAGCCAUGCCGCGUGAGUGAGGAAGGCCUUCGGGUUGUAAAGCUCUUUCGCAAGGAAAGAAAACUUAUCUACUAA
rnacentral:rRNA from 1 species